GGGCCCGUCGUCUAGCCCGGAAGGACGCCGCCCUUACGAGCUAUUGGGCUAGGAAAGGCGGUAGUCCGGGGUUCAAAUCCCCGCGGGCCCA
rnacentral:tRNA from 1 species